rnacentral:tRNA from 4 species
GGGGCCAUAGCUCAGUUGGGAGAGCGCUUGCAUGGCAUGCAAGAGGUCGGCGGUUCGAACCCGCCUGGCUCCACCA